UUUGAUCGGAAUAAAUAUAAAUUCUUUUCUUAUUUCUAUUUUAUGAUUGACCAAUAUAAACAUCAACAACUAUCGGGACCGAUGUUACGAGCUUCUGGAAUACAAUGGGAUCUUCGUAAAGUAGAUCCUUAUGAGUCUUACAACCAAUUUGAUUGGAAAGUCCAAUGGCAAAAAGAAGGGGAUUCGUUAGCUCGCUAUUUAGUACGAAUUGGUGAAAUGAGGGAAUCUGGCGGACCUGCCGCGCAAGAUCUUUGGUCUUCCCCUGGAACCGAUGAAAAAAAGUGGAUCGCUUCUUAUGUACUCGCUCAGAAUGAUUCUUCUCUAUCUAUAGUUCAUGGCCUAUUAGAAGUAGAAGGUGCUCUGGUGCAAUCCUUACCGACUGAAAAAGAUUGCAGUCAGGUUGAUAAUAGUCGAGUGACAUUACUUCGUCGGUUGACAAAAUUGUUUGAAGCACGCACAGAACCGGAAGCGCCCCUUGUUUCAAAGAGAGGAGGACGGGUUAUUCACAUUUAA
rnacentral:rRNA from 1 species